UCUGAACUGAACCGUCAAAGCUCUGGAAAAAUUGAUUUCUACGCAUUUCUUUCCACUUCCUGACCUAAAAUGAAUCAAAAUUCCUUUUUCUUCUGCGUUUCACUUUCGUUUCUCAUUUGUUCCAUAUUCAAACCCAAAUCGAUUUCAUCUGAAACAUGUGAGAAAUUGUCGAGAUUGAAAUCAUCCUUAGCCCUUCUUUCUGUUACCCAUCAUCCCAAAGCCGGAAGCUGGAAAAUUGAUUGGGUUAAAUUAGGGUUCAAGAUGUGUGAAACAUUUAGAGGGGGUGGAGUUCAAGAUGUGUGAAACUAUCUAUUUUAUUAUGCAAGUGUUUCAACAUGAUUACUGAUACAUCACUGGAUAUAGAAGCUAAACUUAUGACAAGUUGGGAAUUUGACAAAAUUGCUCAAGUUGAAAGUUGUAUAUCUUCAUGGUUCUCAAUAACACUCUCCAAACAGUUACUUUUGAAAAGGCAUCUGGAUUCUGCCUCAGGUGGUAACAUAGAUUCCUAUCAUUGCUUUCAUGUCAAUGUACAUAUUACAUCUAAAUUUAGGAUAGCCUUUGAAAGAAGCAUCUAAAUUUAGGAUAGCCUUUAUACAUAUUACAUCUAAAUUACCUACAUGUUAUUUUCUUCAAUGUAUUGCUACUACUUGUGUCUUUUAUCUUCACAGGGGCCAAAAAUUUCUUAGAUUUGGAUGGGUACCAAAUUUCAAGAGGACAACACAAGUGACGAUGAUGACGUAUGUGAUGAACUUCAAAAGGAUAGAUAACAUAGGUGAUGAAGCGGAUGAUGGAGAUGGAGAUGAGUUCGGCGAACUUAAAUUAGCGGGAUGAUGUUGUUUUAGGCUUAGUAUUAAACUUAUAGUAUUAAGUAAUUAGAUAUUUUGUGUCUAUUGUAUGUAUGAGUUAAUAUUAGAAGAUUUUAUUAACACGACUUUUGUUCGAAUUGUUUAUAUAAUG